rnacentral:rRNA from 1 species
CGAUUAGAGUUUGAUCAUGGCUCAGAUUGAACGCUGGCGGCAUGCCUAACACAUGCAAGUCGAACGGUAACAGGUCUUCGGAUGCUGACGAGUGGCGGACGGGUGAGUAAUGCGUAGGAAUCCGUCUUUUAGUGGGGGACAACCCAGGGAAACUUGGGCUAAUACCGCAUGAGCCCUGAGGGGGAAAGCGGGGGAUCUUCGGACCUCGCGCUAAGGGAAGAGCCUACGUCUGAUUAGCUAGGUGGUAGGGUAAAGGCCUACCAAGGCGACGAUCAGUAGCUGGUCUGAGAGGACGACCAGCCACACUGGGACUGAGACACGGCCCAGACUCCUACGGGAGGCAGCAGUGGGGAAUUUUUCGCAAUGGGGGCAACCCUGACGAAGCAAUGCCGCGUGGAUGAAGAAGGCCUUCGGGUUGUAAAGUCCUUUCGUGGGGGACGAAAAGGCGGGUCCUAAUACGAUCUGCUGUUGACGUGAACCCAAGAAGAAGCACCGGCUAACUCCGUGCCAGCAGCCGCGGUAAUACGGGGGGUGCAAGCGUUAAUCGGAAUCACUGGGCGUAAAGGGUGCGUAGGCGGUACGUUAGGUCUGUCGUGAAAUCCCCGGGCUCAACCUGGGAAUGGCGGUAGAAACCGGCGCACUAGAGUAUGGGAGAGGGUGGUGGAAUUCCAGGUGUAGCGGUGAAAUGCGUAGAGAUCUGGAGGAACAUCAGUGGCGAAGGCGGCCACCUGGCCCAAUACUGACGCUGAGGCACGAAAGCGUGGGGAGCAAACAGGAUUAGAUACCCUGGUAGUCCACGCCCUAAACGAUGAAUACUAGAUGUUUGGUACCUUGCGUACUGAGUGUCGUA